rnacentral:rRNA from 1 species
UUCUCUGAUGUUAGCGGCGGACGGGUGAGUAACACGUGGAUAACCUACCUAUAAGACUGGGAUAACUUCGGGAAACCGGAGCUAAUACCGGAUAAUAUUUUGAACCGCAUGGUUCAAAAGUGAAAGACGGUCUUGCUGUCACUUAUAGAUGGAUCCGCGCUGCAUUAGCUAGUUGGUAAGGUAACGGCUUACCAAGGCAACGAUGCAUAGCCGACCUGAGAGGGUGAUCGGCCACACUGGAACUGAGACACGGUCCAGACUCCUACGGGAGGCAGCAGUAGGGAAUCUUCCGCAAUGGGCGAAAGCCUGACGGAGCAACGCCGCGUGAGUGAUGAAGGUCUUCGGAUCGUAAAACUCUGUUAUUAGGGAAGAACAUAUGUGUAAGUAACUGUGCACAUCUUGACGGUACCUAAUCAGAAAGCCACGGCUAACUACGUGCCAGCAGCCGCGGUAAUACGUAGGUGGCAAGCGUUAUCCGGAAUUAUUGGGCGUAAAGCGCGCGUAGGCGGUUUUUUAAGUCUGAUGUGAAAGCCCACGGCUCAACCGUGGAGGGUCAUUGGAAACUGGAAAACUUGAGUGCAGAAGAGGAAAGUGGAAUUCCAUGUGUAGCGGUGAAAUGCGCAGAGAUAUGGAGGAACACCAGUGGCGAAGGCGACUUUCUGGUCUGUAACUGACGCUGAUGUGCGAAAGCGUGGGGAUCAAACAGGAUUAGAUACCCUGGUAGUCCACGCCGUAAACGAUGAGUGCUAAGUGUUAGGGGGUUUCCGCCCCUUAGUGCUGCAGCUAACGCAUUAAGCACUCCGCCUGGGGAGUACGACCGCAAGGUUGAAACUCAAAGGAAUUGACGGGGACCCGCACAAGCGGUGGAGCAUGUGGUUUAAUUCGAAGCAACGCGAAGAACCUUACCAAAUCUUGACAUCCUUUGACAA